UGAUUUUAUAAACACGACACUUGUCAAUUAACAAGCGUCGUCUUUCAAAACGCGCUAAAUGAAAAGAGGCACUUAAGUGAAUUCGUGAUCUUAAAUUUUCAGAUUUCUCCCCAUCGCUCGAAAAAAUAUCUCCCUCCUUUUGAAAUCCUUAACAACUCUCUGGAUCUCCCUCAACCCUCUUAAACACCUUCUCUCACCUCUGAAGCACUCAUCUUUAUAAUGUUCACUGCCAUCAUCACCAAGCUUGCUGGCAUAGGAGUCGGAGUUUGCGAUUUAACGUUCUAGGCCACUUGAGCCCCUUGGAUGUCUUCGACACCGAGCUCGCUGGCAUAGGAGGUCACAAUCUCUUCCUCUUCUUCUUCUCUAUGGUUUCAUUGUAUGCAUCAAUUUAGGGUUCUUCAAGUUGGACUAGUUUUUUUUAUCAAUUAAUUUUGGGGGGUUAGGGUUUUCGAUGUCUAAUUUUUGGUUUAAUAAUUCGUGUCCGAUGCGAUUAGUAUAAAUCUAGUCAGAUCGUCGACAUGCCUCGGGCUGAGGAAGAGAAACCAGACAAAUAUGAAAUUCUACCAUCCCCUGCUCUCUCUCCCCCCUCCCCAAACAAUACAAGGCUAAGCCUGAUGAGUCCAAAGCUUUUGCGUUAUUGAGAGUAAAUUUCUCCAAAUCUCCCUCACUUUAUUGAACUUUGUGUUUGUUAAAGCUAUAACUUCUAUAUGCUUGGUUGUAAGAAUCUGAUUUUCUUACUCUUGAUGUCGUGGGACUUGUUUGAAAUAUAUGUUCUGUUUGUAAAUGGAAGAUCCUAUACACAAACAUGAGAGACUUUGUUCUCAACACUGUUCUCAGCUCUUCCUUGUCCAUGGUUCUGCUACCCAAGUACAUUGGUGGCCUAUGGAUCAAGCUUUUACUCCUUCUAGACCUCACUUGUGCAGACAGCGGCAGACUUUGGGGUAAGCUAUGUGUAUGUUUCACUCUUUUCUUUUAUUCUUGGAAUUUUAUUUUUCAAUUUCACACAAUUUGUGACAAGGCAGAACAAUUGCCUUCCAAUUUGCAGAGCUUGAUUUUGAUAUUUAUUCCUUUUUCAAGAAAUUGAUUUGAAGCAGUGGGUCUCAUAUUCGUGGAGACUUCUUUGUCUAACUCAUCAGGUACAAACCAAAGAGUUAUUUGUAUUUCUUUGAGUUUGGCAGUAUUGACUUCAUAGUUGAACCUUUUUUUAAAAAUUUAAAAAUCUCGAAAUUCAUUGGUGUGCAUAAAAAAUACAACAGCCACAAAUUUGGAUUUUACCCAUCCUCACCGAGGAAUUAAAACCAUCUUCACUUUGGGUCUAAAGACCAAAUUAUAGUUUGUCAUAAGGAAGAGUCUUUGGCAGAAGGUUGAAGGCUUUGCAUCUAUUUUGACUUGGCUACUCAUGUGAUUCUGGUAUAUCCUUCUUCCUUCUUUUUAUUUUUGUUUUUAAUCAGGUAGUUUGAAUGCUUUGGCAUGCUGCUUUGUCUUGUGAAUUUGAAAACUGACAAGUUUGCUUGCAAACUUGCAGAGUGCCCUUCUUCGUUGUUUGGCAGAUUGAGUUGGUGCCCUGUGUGGUGGCCUUGUGUAUCUUUGCUUACACCUUGCACCAAGAGACUUGAUAGGAAGACUUGACUAUAUUUCUGUGAGUUAUGUAGUUCUUAUUCUUGUUUUGCAUUUUUCCUUUCUUGAAUUGUUCUUUAAUACUCAUCCUGUUUUGCAUUGUUCCUUUCUCUCUGCUUGAAAAUGAUUGAUCUUUGCACAUAAACUUCAACUUCAACUGUACAUUCAAAUUCUUCAUUACUGUCUUAAUUUUGUUGGUUUGUUUGCUAAGGAAAAAAAAAACAAGGAGAAGUGAGAUUCUUACUUUGUUGGAUCAUGAGAAAUGGAUAACACUAUACAACUAAGCUUAUGGUGGUAUUAGUUUUCAAUAUAGCUGUGGGGUUGGUUUCUUGGGUUCUUGAAUUGAUAAAUAAUUUUCCAAUACAUUUCUCAUCAACCAAACAGAAAGAGUAAUUGCUAGGAAAGAAUUUUCGCUAAUGUUAUUUGUCCAAGUAGAGCUGAAAUUUUCUCCUUUUUGUGACUUGCGACUUGCAACUUGCAAAUAGUACAUCAACUGACCAGAUAUUAGGGUACUUUUUACACAUUUUAGUAGUUGAUUUUUCAAAUUUGCACAUUUUAGUUCUUAAAUGUGGUCAUUUGUGUUAAUGUAACUGUGUAUUUAAUGUGUGUAGCUAAUUAUAUUUAUAUAUCUUAAUUUGGUUUUAAUGGAAUUUUUAAUGGAGGUUGCUCAAGUGCUUCUCACACUGCCAUGCAUAUUCAUUUUCCCAACUGGGUUUGCGAUAUGGGAUUCUAUUUCAGUUUUUUUAUGGGUUGGUGGGAAGCUGGACUGCUUAUCUCAUCAGUCUGCUAUAUGUUGAGUACAGAACUAGAAGGGAAAGAGAAAAAGUUGAUUUUAGGAAUCAUAUAAUUUAGUAUACUCCAUUAUUUACGAAGUAUGAAUGUCAUAGGAAUAAAGAUUGAUUAACUGUGUAAUAAUAUUGAAUCUUCAAGUUUUAUGAAAUAAACAAUUUUUGAGUGUA